GCUAAAAAAAAAAGAAUCCAGAAAGCCUGGAAGAUACUUUUCCAAGAAUUUAUUUUCUGUUUAGAUUCUACCCCUGAAAGUCAGUCCUGAAAGGAUUAUAAAAGCAAGAAAGAAACAUGGACUCUAAGAAUUAACAACAGUGUGGGAAGCCACGGAGGAGAUUUAUGACUACCCUAAAUUGGUUUGUGUUUGGAUGGAUGACUAUUUCCUGCUCUUUAUUACUAGAAAUUGGCAGCAACAUCUCAGAUUGGAUAAUGGUACUGGUGGAAUAAUUACCAGAAAGAAAAAAACAUCCCCACUAAAGUGAUGAAAACAUGUACAGAUUGUCCAACCUUUUGCUUUUGUACCACUUCCCCUUCCAGAUGUCAGGGUUGUGAUUUAUUUCUCCCUAAGAGUUUAAAAAUAAAACUCUCAUCAUAAAAUUUGCCUGAUACUGAUGAAAAAUAAGAUGUAGUAAUUUAGGCUUUCAGACUAGACUCAGAAAUAGAAUCCAUUAAUAUUUUUU
rnacentral:lncRNA from 1 species